rnacentral:rRNA from 1 species
UACAGAGGUCUCAAGCGUUGUUCGGAUUCAUUGGGCGUAAAGGGUGCGUAGGCGGCGCGGUAAGUCGGGUGUGAAAUCUCGGAGCUUAACUCCGAAACUGCAUUCGAUACUGCCGUGCUUGAGGACUGGAGAGGAGACUGGAAUUUACGGUGUAGCGGUGAAAUCCGUUGAUAUCAUGGGGAACACCGAAAGCGAAGGCAGCACACUGGCGCACUCCUGACACUGGAAACACGGAAAGCGUGGGUAGCGAAUGGG